GACGUAGGGCGCGAGCGUUGUCCGGAUUUAUUGGGCGUAAAGAGCUCGUAGGCGGCUUGUCGCGUCGGCUGUGAAAACCCGGGGCUCAACCCCGGGCCUGCAGUCGAUACGGGCAAACUAGAGUGUGGUAGGGGAGACUGGAAUUCCUGGUGUAGCGGUGAAAUGCGCAGAUAUCAGGAGGAACACCGGUGGCGAAGGCGGGUCUCUGGGCCAUAACUGACGCUGAGGAGCGAAAGCGUGGGGAGCGAACAGG
rnacentral:rRNA from 1 species